GGUGGACAAACCCAAACUAUUAACAAAAGAUAGUUAAAAAGCUGAGAACGAUAGAUGUGAUUGGAAAAGAAUAAGGAAACCUAUUGAACAAAAUAUAAGGGAAAAGAUUCAUACCAUAAAAUGAAAGCAAAUAAAAGAUGUUAAAGUAAACAUCUGAAGCUAAAAUGGAAAGACCCAAUAAAGGAAAACUAACAAGUGCGAUAUUAGAACGCGUGAGAGACAUGAGAGAUUUACAUUAUUUCAUAAAUAAGAGGGGAAAAGAGGAAUGCACAACAAAUUAAAAUAGAAGUUAAUAUCACAAGGAAAAGAGAAAAAUAACCACACAAAAGGAAAUGAAAACUAAUAAAUGAGAAAAAGGGGACUGUACUAUUUACUAAGGAAAAUUAAUAAAGGGCAACAAUGCCACAAACUAAGAGAAUGUAUGUUCAUGAAGUAGUGAAGGUGGAGGAAAGGGGGAUCUACUUCAUAAAGUAGUGAAGUGAGAGAAAGGAAUAAACAUAAAACCUAUCAAGAGAUAAGUGUUGUUAAUAAGAGAAGAGUAACUAUUCAAUGGGAGGACAAGAAAUGGGGGUGAAAGAAGAAGGUCUACCUUAUUAAAUGAGAGAGAUAAAGAAGAUGGGUAAAUAUAACAAAUCAAA
rnacentral:lncRNA from 1 species